rnacentral:rRNA from 1 species
GCGGUUAUACGGGAGGCCCAAGUUGUCAAAAGUCGGCGUAAAGAGUGGUUAAGAUAAGAUUAAAUUAAGGCCGAACGCCUUCCGGGCCGUUAUACGCAUCUGAAGGUAAGAAGUUCAAUUACGAA